rnacentral:rRNA from 1 species
UACGUAGGGUGCGAGCGUUAAUCGGAAUUAUUGGGCGUAAAGCGCUCGUAGGCGGAUCGGUAAGUCUGUGAAGAAAGACCCGGGCUCAACUCGGGGAACGGCAUAGAUACUGCUGAUCUUGAGACAGUCAGAGGAUGAUGGAAUUCCAGGUGUAGCGGUGAAAUGCGUAGAGAUCGGGAAGAACACCAGUGGCGAAGGCGGCCGGCUGGGGGCGCCCUGACGCUGAGGCGCGAGAGCGUGGGGAGCAAACCGG